GAAAAUCCGUCGACUUUAUAAGUCGGGAGGGUUCAAGUCCCUCUAUCCCC
rnacentral:tRNA from 1 species